GUUCAGUAGGAUGCUUUGUUAGUUUAUUUGGAGAUUUGAGAAAACAUUCACCACAAGAGACAACUUCACGUAAUACAGCAACUUUCAGAAUAGUCAUGGUAAUGACUAGAAGCUAAUGAGGAUGCUCAUGCAGUCUCGCCAAUAUAAGAGCAAUGAGCUAUAAAUUUAAAGUACAGUUUGACCAAGGCUUAUGACCAAGGACUAGCAAAGUAUGAAAGACUUCCUUUUGAAAGCCAUUAGUGCAGUAGCUAAAUGACUGCUGCUGCUGCAAUGUCCUUAUUGGAGAAAACAAUCCAAUAUCAAAAGGAGAU
rnacentral:misc_RNA from 1 species